GUGAAGUCGGAAUUGCUAGUAAUCGCAGAUCAGCAUGCUGCGGUGAAUACGUUCCCGGGCCUUGUACACACCGCCCGUCACAUCAUGGGAGUCGGUAACACCCGAAGCCUGUAGUCUGACCUUUUGGAGGACGCAGUCGAAGGUGGGAUCGAUGACUGGGGUGAAGUCGUAACAAGGUAGC
rnacentral:rRNA from 1 species